rnacentral:lncRNA from 1 species
GGGGAAGUUGGAAACUCGGACGUGGUCAUCUCCUUCCUAGUGCCAUACCUACAAUGCUUAAAUCAUGAUAUAACUAACUUGACAUAUAAAUAAAUUUAAUAAUAAAUAAUAAUAGUAAAAAAAUAUAAAUGUUAAUGAAUAGAAUUGUAUUGCAUACCAUUAUUGCAAGAGAAGAUUCAACAAAGAAUAUAGAUCUACUCAAUAAUAUCCAUAUCCUCCUCGAUUUGUAGGUCCUCUUC